AGGUGGACAGAGAAGACGGAGUCCAACCAGACAGGGUCAAAAAAUACUGUUUUUCUGGAAAAGAGCACAGAAAUGGAAAACAGCUGGAAGGCAUGAUGCGAUGUCUACAUGGAAACACUAUGCAUUUGGGGUUCCUUCAUGGGCCCUGUAAAAGAUCAUUCAGAAUCAUGCUCAAGAAGAAUUUUAUUAAGAAGGCUUCUCACGCACUUAUUUUAGCCUAUACUUUUAAUCCUGGAGAGGCUGAUACCUGCAGCUCCUCCCUUGAUGUUCUGCUUCCUGCAUGCCAGGCCACGAGCAGCUUCUCCUCCACCAAGCCCCUCUGCCAGGCCGCUCUACCUUGGAGCCAGCCGAACUCUGACUGAAACCUCUCCAAACCAUGAGCCAAAAAAGCCUUGCCAUCUUUAAAUUGUGGGUAUCAGUUAUUGUGUCCCGGAGAUGAGGAAGGUGCCUAAGACAAAGACUACGAGGGAUGCGGAAACAGUCAUUCCCACCAGGGCUCUGGAUUGCUUCAGACCGUCUCCUUGUUUAUCUCCAUCUAGGUCAGAGUUUCUCCUGACUCAGAACUGUCACCCCUUCUAGCCCACAGUGAUCUCUCUGGAUGCUUCUGCUCCUUCUCAACCUGACAGCCUUUCAGCUUCUCCUCCUGCUGCCAGCAGCCUGCUUUGUCCAGAUUCUCCCUUCACUCCUUUGCCAAGACUGACUCAGGAUGCAUCUAGCCCUGAGCCACUUCCUAAGCCCCAGGCGCCUUUAUAGUCUGCCCUUGACUCACUCUUGUUGUGAUCUCAUCAGCCACCGAUGCAGUGGACAAGGUCACAGGGUCACACAUGGUUCCCACUGGAAUGGAACUACGGGUGAGACAGUUUUUCCUCAUCAGAAGCUGUGAGGAUGGCAGACACAGAGAGGACAUAAGAGGUCCCUGGCCCCAAAUGUUUUCUCCGAUAGCUUAAUAGCGUUCACUUCAGUGUGUCAUCAUGCCUGAAUUGCCAUCUGUCUUGGACUGAUCUUGCUAAACGAGGCCUUUGUUUUUAUAAUUCCAAUUCCCCUAAAGAAGAUAAGAUUUACUUGUGUGCCUGAUAUAUAAUUAGUACUCAAUAAAUAUUAACUGAAUAAAAGGUGAAUAAAGUUCAAUUUAUCUGAUCUAAUUACUAAGAAUAGUUAACACAUUUUAUGGACAAAAGGAAGAAAUGUCAUGUGGAGCAUGUGGAAAUUGGACACAGCAUGGGCAAGCUAAGGGACCAACAGAGACCAUAGACAUCUGGUGUGCAGGAAUAAAAAAUCCAGGGCCGGAAGUAAAAGGGAAAGUUGCCUUCCACCUCCUACGCCUCUCUGCCACCAACCAAGCCAACGAAACAAACAUCUCCAUUUUUCCUGUUCCUAACAGCCAGAAGGAAAGAGUUAACUCUGUUGGAUGCUGCCGAAAGGCAAGUAGGAGGAGGACUAAAAAUGUCCACUGAUUCAGUGACAUGAACAGCAUUGGUGAAUUUAGCAAGAGCAAUUCAGUGAAAUUGAAGGAAGCACAUAAAUGCUGAGUGUGAUAAAGCAAUUUAAGUGAUCAAAACACUGUGAAAGGAAGAUCUAUUCUAGUCUCAGAUCUACAACCUAAUUAAUGUGUGACCUUGCAAAAGGCAAUUAAAUGCUCAGAGCCCUGAUUUUCUCAACUAAAAUGAGAGAAACUAUACGUAUCAAUCCAUGGAAUUGUUGUACAAGUUAACUGAGAUAAUAUAUACAAAGUGCUCUGAAAUUGUCACAGUGCUACAAAAAAGGAAAUGUAUUCUCUGUGUUAUUGAAUAAUAAAUAGACCUGAUCAUGCUUUUUAGCAAGAAGUACACUAAAAAUUCUGACCAAAAAUACAUAACAAAGCAUAAAAGUUAAGCCCAAAUUCACUGAGAAUUACAGAAAUUCUUCUAAAUAAGCUCUGCUCCAAGAAUUUCAAAUGAAGAUACUUAGAUCUAUAAGUGACAAAGCGAUAAAUUUAUUGCUGUCUUUGCCCCAACAAUUUAAACAACAUAUUUUAAGUAUAGUUGUGCUUCUGCUAGUCAAUUAUAAAUUCAAACACUAUAAAAAAAAGUCGUGCCAGUUGUAAUCAAUCAGUAUACAUUUGUGUACGAAGGAUCUUCCAGAAGUUCUGGCAUUCUGUUUGCUUUCUUCAUAUAUCACUCUUUGGGAAGAUACUAAGGUGAGUAACAGUAACCAGAAGUGUCUUUGAAUACCUCUUCUUAAAAUAGAGAUAUGAGAUAGAAAUGCAAAUUUAUGCCUCAGGAGAAACCAAAUUUAAAAACUAUCAAAGGGAAAAAAUCCAUAAAUAAAAAUAUUGAUAGCUUGGUAAAAUCUUGAGUUGGAAUAAUCAAUUAUUAAUCUAUAAUAAUGUCGUUGGGGAGCCAAAAAUGGACAAAAGCUAAUAUUUGCCAAGCAUGUACCAUGUGGUAGGCACUGGUUUGCAUGUAUAUUUCAUUUAGUUGUUGUGGCAAAUGAGGUAGAUAUUACAGUAUCAUUUCCCCCAUUUAAACGUAAAAAUUUGAUACACAGAAAGAUUAAAUAACUCGCCCAAGGCCACAGGUAGUAUUAUGGCUGGGACCAGAACUGUGCUUGUAUGGGCUCCAAAGUCCAUGGUCUUAAUGCAUUGGCUUCCACAAUUAUUUCAUUAGAUAAAAUCUUUAACUUUCUGGAAAAUAAUAAUAAAGUUCCUAAUUUAACCCAAAUAGUUUCUGAUUGCUCUAUUACAUUGUAAUCGUCCUGUGAAGAUGAGCACAGGCUCUGUCCUGCUACACGGGUCUUAUGUAGGAGAAGCCAGCUCUGGCUUUAGGUUCUGGUGCUUUAUUUUAGAAAUAAGUAAAAUGUAAAUCAUAAGCCAACAAGUAGCAAUUUCAGAAUUGCAAAGUUGUUUAGAGCAUGUUU